rnacentral:rRNA from 1 species
AUUGAACGCUGGCGGCAGGCCUAACACAUGCAAGUCGAACGGUACCUGCAGGUCGAUUGCUGCUUUGGUGCCGAGUGGGGGAGGGGUGGGUAUUGUCUGGGGAACUGCCGGCUGGAGGGGCAUAAAUACUGGGAUCGUUAGCUAAUACCGAAUAUCGUCGCACGACCGAAGAGCGGGACUUUAGGGCUCCUUGCGAUCGGAUGUGCCCAGAUGGGGUGGGCUAGUAUGAGGGGUACCGGGUCACUUAGGCGACAACCCUUAGAUGGUCUGCGAGGAUGACCAGCUACACUGGAACUGAGACACGGUCCAGACUCCUAGGGGAGGCAGCAGUGGGGAAUAGUGCACAAGGGGCGCAAGCCGGAUGCAGCCAUGCCGCGGGUAGGAAGAAGGCCUUCGGGUUGGAAAGUACUUGCAGCGGGGAGGAAGUGAGGAAAGUUAAUCCCUGUGCUCAUUGACGUUACCCGCAGAAGAAGCACCGGCUAACUCCGUG